GGUCUGGAAAGCUGAGAAAGUCCUUGCUGAUUAUUGGGAUGUACUUGUGUUUGGUUAAAUAGAGGCCUGGAGGAUGUUUGUCAUUGAAUAACACAGCAGAAAGGAAUGCAGGAAAAACACUCUUUUACAAGUUCAGGACGUGGUCUGCAGCUUGUUACAUUCCUGCUCUCACAGGAGCUCCGCACUGAGAAAAUGGUUUAAGGGAACCGUCCCAUUGGGCUCCUGCAGGAAGGCCUGGAACAAUGGCCAACACAGGAAGGAUAUCACAGGUGGAUAUAGCACAUCUGUGCCAAGGUGCAAUGGCAGAAGAGAAGUCACCAUGGCUCCAGCGGACACCAGAUGUUUUAUGACUUUUCAGUAUGUUUUGAAAAGCAUCCCAUGGAUGAUCACAGAGCUGAGGAAUAAGACUAAUGGCAGACUGUGUUAAUACUUGGAGCUGUACAUAUUAAAGGUGAUGUUUUGUAGCCUCUUCACCUUGAAGGUGGGAACUGAAAGAGGCUGAAGUGAAAAGUGGGGUGGAGAUUAGCUCUACUCUUGGGAGACCAGGAUUGAAGGUUUAGGGCAAGGCUGAAGAAAAAGCUGAUGCAAGUGGUUAGGGAGUUGGGAUUUUGAGAGAAUAAGAUGUUCCUCAGGAGCACUGAGCUGAUGGGCUCUCCAGGCACAGCAACUGCAGGGCAGCAGUGGUGGGAACAAGGCAAAUCUGUGCCCUGUGAUGGGAGUGUUGCAGCAGCUGAACCUUGGGGGUCAAGUUUUCAUCCUCUAAGCUCACCCCAGGAACCUUUCCCAACCCAACAGAGCUGCUGAAAGCCUCCAUGGAUUCCUGCCUGAGCAUCAGUCAAUGCAGAAAACAGCUUGGGCUUUUGAAGCAUUCAUCACAGAAGCAAGAUUGUGUACCAGAACAGAUAAGUCACAGGCAAGAGGGAAACUAAAAGAACUUUUCAGGCAUGUAAGGCUGAUAGGAAAUCAGCCUUACGACUGGGCAAGGACACUUUCAUCACUCAUACACUGUCGUAGUUCUGCUAGUGGUAAAAGUCAUUUUAUGGGCAGUGUGGUACUAGUGAUUUACAGGGUUUCAUUCUCCACAGCUGACAUUUAGUUAUCCUAUUUCACAAGUAUCAAAAAUACUUUAAUGUCAGAAAAGUAAAUAAAACCUUACCACGAAGUGUAAGCAUGAACAAUGCUAAAUAUCACUGGCUUUUGCCACUAGUAGUAUGUAUCACAUUUAGGAGACUAGUUCUAGAUGUAAUUGGUAUGGGAGCCUGGAGCAGAUGGCCUAACAUACUGGCAUUUGCCAGUAGGUUAUGAGCUUGAUGCAAUCAUGAAUAUGUAGUAAGGUAGCAGGCAUGUCACCUUUCUGAGGGCUGAAAAGAUCUUGGCUAAAUCCCAGCAAGACAUGAGGGAAAACCCAGGAGCAGAUUUCAACAUGAUAAAAAUUGAGACCCUUCCUUCUGUUACUUAAAACAUUUUCUCUGAUAUAGGACAACAAUGACUUGGAAAUAAUAUAUGCAUCCUUACUAAGGGUUCUGAAUUAUUCCUGUGUUAUUUCUGUCUGAUUUAAAUCGGUUGAAUAGCUGUGAGAUCAUUCUGCUGUUAUUUUGGUGUUUGCAAGCUUUCAGAUUCACUGCAUAUGCCCUUGUGUUUGUAUUUAUAUUUGUGAUUCUCCCAAAGUUUUGCAGGACAUAGCACAUCUCCAAGGAUUGUUAUUUGUUAUUUAAAACCCACUGAACUGAAAUCCAAAUUCCAUCCAUUCACUGCUGGCCGUUAUUUAUUUUCCAUUCAUAAACUUUCAGCAAGUAGCGCCAGGCAGCAUUCAGGCAUCACAGCAGCCAAGAGGUGAAGUAGGCUUUUCACGAACACGUUGCAGGCUGAUAGUCACCUGCAGACACUGGUUGGUGAAUCAUACUGAGCAGUGAAUACACCCUGAACAUCAGGAUCCUUUCACAUGCUGAAGGAAGUGUUGCAAUUUUACUCAUCUGAUCUGCACGUUGCUCCGUGGAGGCUUUCAUCCCAGCUUGCUUCUUUUUACAAUAAUUCAGGGACGUAUUAUGAAAUCUGAAAUUCUGCUAAAUUCAAGCAAACUUCUUGCUGA